UUCAUUAUCCCACCGAGCUGUUUUAAUAAAUUUCACCAUUUAGUGACAGCAUAAAGUUGUAUUUACAUUCCAUUUUACAAUACAUACAUACAUUUUUAAAAUACCAUGAAAUGCUAGUGUUUUAGGUAGAGCCAAUGACAGUCUCACAGCAGCAGCAAACUGGUUUAUUCAGAGAAUGAACAGAAAGUACAAUGUCCUUCAACAGACAUCUACGUUAAUAGUACUUUUAUUAUUCUGUUGCUUUAGCAAAAACAAUGGUGAUGUAUCACAAAUACUAAAAUUAUGAAAAGCAUCUACUCAUUACGUAGCAGAACACUGAUUAACACACAUAAGCAGAAGAGUCAGUAAUAUACUAACCUGAACUGCCUUCAGUUUUUAAGAAGAGAUUGUUGGAGGAAAUAUAAGUUAUCAAGCUUUAGAUAGAAAUGUCACACAAUACAAGGUACCCACAAGAGGAUUUUAAAAAAGGUGAAAUGAAAGCUCAUUUAUUUUCAUUUAGGGCUACACUUUUCCUUAUCAUACACUAAAGCUCUACAAGUAAAGGACAGUUGAAACAUUUGUGGCUUCCAUUUACUGAUAAACACUGAUAUUUUAUUUUUACCAUAGCUAAAAAUUUUAGUUAUAGGUGCCAACGUGUAAAUUCAGUCCUGAAGAAUGGCAACUGAUGUAUCAGCAAAGGCUUCCUUUUGUCAGGGAGCUUGUAAAUGUCUAUAAAGUCAUACUGAAUACUACAAUGUACUACUCUAUUCAAUGUGAUAUAUGUAUUUGCUGGUGCUUACUCCAAAAUAGCAGCUUGAAGACCAUAGCUCCUCACGAAGAUAAGUUUUCUUUAUUAAUAUUCCAAACUGACAAAAAUAAUCUGAACCUUAAUUAAUUAACAAUUCUCAUGAGUACAUACACACUUUGAUUUUUACUUGUGGAAUUAAUUCACCAUGGAGACUUAAAGGUAAAGUAUCAACACUUAACAAAUGUAUGGUAAACCUAAGUCACUUUUUAGAGCGUGUGUGUGUGUGUGUGUGUGUGUGUGUGUGUGUGUGUUUUCUGAAGGAAGACUGUCUUGUCAAUGUAUUGUCCAUACAUUCUAUGUGCCUGUUCACUACUCAGCAACUCUUCUAUUUAGUAAUUAGUUAUCUGUCCUCAUUUUUGCAAUACAUAUUGGAUUAUCCAUCAAUAUAUACUACCUCAUUAUCAGUGUUUACCAAAGUAUGAAGUCACAUCUUAGCUGA